rnacentral:rRNA from 1 species
AACGAACGCUGGCGGCAGGCCUAACACAUGCAAGUCGAGCGCGCCCUUCGGGGUUAGCGGCGGACGGGUGAGUAACGCGUGGGAACGUGCCCUUUUCUACGGAAUAGCCUCGGGAAACUGAGAGUAAUACCGUAUACGCCCUUUGGGGGUAAGAUUUAUCGGAAAAGGAUCGGCCCGCGUUGGAUUAGGUAGUUGGUGGGGGAAUGGCCUACCAAGACGACGAUCCAUAGCUGGUUGGAGAGGAUGAUCAGCCACACUGGGACUGAGACACGGCCCAGACUCCUACGGGAGGCAGCAGUGGGGAAUCUUAGACAAUGGGGGCAACCCUGAUCAAGCCAUGCCGGGUGAGUGAUGAAGGCCUUAGGGUUGUAAAGCUCUUUCAGCUGGGAAGAUAAUGACGGUACCAGCAGAAGAAGCCCCGGCUAACUCCGUG